rnacentral:rRNA from 1 species
UACGAAGGGGGCUAGCGUUGCUCGGAAUCACUGGGCGUAAAGGGUGCGUAGGCGGGUCUUUAAGUCAGAGGUGAAAUCCUGGAGCUCAACUCCAGAACUGCCUUUGAUACUGAGAAUCUUGAGUAUGGGAGAGGUGAGUGGAACUGCGAGUGUAGAGGUGAAAUUCGUAGAUAUUCGCAAGAACACCAGUGGCGAAGGCGGCUCACUGGCCCAUAACUGACGCUGAGGCACGAAAGCGUGGGGAGCAAACAGG